UACGUAGGGGGCAAGCGUUGUCCGGAAUCACUGGGCGUAAAGCGCGCGCAGGCGGUGAAGUAAGUCUGGGGUGAAAACCCGGAGCUCAACUCCGGGAGUGCCUGGGAAACUGCUUGACUUGAGGACUUCAGAGGCAAGGGGAAUUCCACGUGUAGCGGUGAAAUGCGUAGAUAUGUGGAGGAACACCAGUGGCGAAGGCGCCUUGCUGGGAAGUAACUGACGCUGAGGCGCGAAAGCGUGGGGAGCAAACAGG
rnacentral:rRNA from 1 species